rnacentral:snoRNA from 1 species
AUGGCGAUCUCCGGCCUUACUGAUACGUAGUGAUAACCUAGUUGGCGGA